AGGAGAACCUGCGGAAGGAUCAUUG
rnacentral:rRNA from 1 species